rnacentral:rRNA from 1 species
GACGAGCGCUGGCGGCGUGCUUAACACAUGCAAGUCGAACGAUGAAGCGGGUGCUUGCACUCGUGGAUUAGUGGCGAACGGGCGAGUAACACGUGAGUAACCUGUCCUUUUCUUUGGGAUAACGGCUGGAAACGGCUGCUAAUACUGGAUAUUCAGGCUGCAUCGCAUGGUGUGGUUUGGAAAGGUUUUUUCUGGGAUUGGGUGGGCUCGCGGCCUAUCAGCUUGUUGGUGGGGUGAUGGCUUACCAAGGCUUUGACGGGUAGCCGGCCUGAGAGGGUGGUCGGUCGCACUGGGACUGAGAUACGGCCCAGACUCAUACGGGAGGCAGCAGUGGGGAAUAUUGCACAAUGGACGAAAGUUUGAUGCAGCGACGCCGCGUGGAGGGUGUAGGCCUUCGGGUUGUGAACUCCUUUUUCUCGCGAAAAAGGCACAGUUUUGGCUGUGUUGAUGGUAGUGGGGGAAGAAGCGCCGGCUAACUACGUG